rnacentral:misc_RNA from 1 species
UUAAGUUCAGCGGGUGGUCCUACUCGAUUUGAGGUCAAGUUGUCAGUUGUUGUCCGAAGACAGUUCGAAAGCACAGAGCUCCUGAUCAGCCACCCUCUUGCGAGGCGCCGGCGAAGACACUUAUCACGCCGUACUAUGUCCAACCAAGAGUUGCACUAAUGCAUUUGAGGAGAGCCGACGUCCCUUAGCAAAAGGGUCGC